GCAGAGGCGGAUAGGGUUUGACCCGUAUCCAGAAGGUGAAAACCGCAUAUAUAGUGGUGGUGAGGGAUUUUUUCCGGGCCACCGUAAAAAAUUUACGAGUCAGGCCGCAGAUACGGUGUUAUAGUGUGCUAGAGAUGCUCUUAGACACCCGAAAACCAGAGAUUGGGAUCAAUAUUCCCCUUAAUACCUCUCUGUGAUUAUUCCCCGACCAAAAGCACUUUCCUCUUUGGAUGGGAUGGGAUACUUCAUCUAGUGCCGGCGGCACAGCUCCCAACCCAACCUGAUUGCUGCCGCCGCGAGCCCCCUGUUCCUCUGCCAGGUACCUCAUUGUGAUUGACGAUGUAUGGACAAUAGCAGCGUGGGAUGCUAUCCGAUCCACGCUGCCAGACAACAACCUCGACAGCAGAAUCAUGGUGACCACUCGGAUAGAGGCUGUGGCUGUAGCAUGCAGCGAUGCUAGUGAAAUUUGUGGAGAUAACAUCUAUCACAUCGAGCCCCUCAAUUCAGAAGACUCCAAGAAGCUGUUCCUCAGCAGAGCAUUUGGCUCCAAGGAUGCCACUUGCCCCACAGAGCUGGAAGAUGAAAUGAACAAAAUUCUCAAGAAAUGUGGUGGGCUGCCAUUGGCCAUUGUCAGCAUUGGCAGCCUUUUGGCCAGCUAUAAAUCACCGGAGCACAAGGAUAUGUGGGAUAGGGUUUGCAAAUCAAUUAGUUAUCAUAUGGAUACCAAUCCCACCCUUGACGGGAUGAGGCAGAUACUCACACUCAGCUACGACCACCUGCCCUAUCACCUCAAGGGUUGCAUGAUGUAUCUUAGUAUUUUCCCGGAGGAUUUUCUCAUCAACAAGGACCGGCUCGUAUACAGAUGGAUCGCUGAAGGAUUGGUUGAGGAGAAGCGGGGGAUGACCCUGUUGGAGGUUGCAGAAGCCUACUAUGACGAGCUGGUGAGUAGGGGCAUGAUUAAUCCCGCUGGCGAAAUAAUCAGCCAUGUCUAUGGAGCUGUGGAGACAUGUCGGGUGCAUGACUUGAUGCUGGAGGUCAUGGUGUCCAAAUCCUUGGAGGCCAACUUUGUCAGCCUGAUAGGUGGGCAGUAUGAUGGGAUGUCCUAUGACACAAUACGCCGCCUCUCCCUCCAUGGUGGUGCGCAGAUGCCCAAGGAAUCUCCAUCCAAGAAGUACUCUCCAUCCAAAAGACCCAAGGAAUCUACAUCCAAGAAAAUGGUUAAGAAGAAUGACUUAAAAGACAUUAAUGUGCAGCAUGUCCGAUCACUGAGUAUGUUUCAGCUCCAAGGGAACAAGCUGCUUGAUCGUCUGGGUGAGUUCACCCUGCUGAGAGUACUUGACCUGGAAGACUGCAAGGGCGUAGAAAACAAGCAUAUGGGUGACAUCUGUCGGAUGUACCUUCUGAGGUAUUUGUCCCUGAGAGGUACAGAUAUCAGUGUGCUGCCUCCGAAAGUCUGUGACCUGGAGCAUUUGCAGACACUUGAUGUACGUGCCACCGGCCUUGCUAGACUUCCAGAAACUCUGAUAAAACUAGAGAAACUUGAGCGCUUGUUCUUCUCCCAGAAGGAUGUCUGGUCUACCAUGUGGAAGCCACCUCAGGGUCUCUGGAAAAUGAAGGCGCUGCGGGAGGUGGGCUGGAUAUUGCUGGAAGAUGAUGCUGUUGAGGUUGCCCAAGAGGUAGGUGAACUAGAAAAUCUGCAAAGGUUAAGUAUCUACGUCGAUUGUGAGAGGCCCAAUGGUCCCAAGGUUCUUGAAGAGCUUGCCCUGUCCCUGAGCAGGACGCACUCUCUCCGGUCGCUCGACAUGGGCACCAUGAGUUAUGAGGCCAAUGCGUUGAACUUUCUCCUUGAGCUCCCCUCGCCGCCACGCCUCCUCCGAUUCCUCAGGAUCGCUGGUGGCAUUGACAAAUUGCCCAACUGGGUUGAAUCGCUCACAUAUCUUGUUGAGUUUCACAUGUCAUGGGCACACUUUAUCGAUGACCAACUAUUUGGGGUUCUGUGUAAGUUGCCCAACCUGAAGAGCAUCUGGAUGCAGCGGAACUGCUACACCGGUCUAGAGCUGAUUGCACGCGCUGCACACAACUUUCCAGCGCUCAAGAAUCUCAGAGGGACCUGUGAUAACGAAAUGCCCAGAGUCUACAAAUUUGAGGAAGGAUCCAUGACAAAGCUCGAGAAACUUUCACUGAAUUUCGACAACUGGAGUGAGAAGAGCAUUGUGGGCAUUGAGCACUUGACAAGCCUUAAAGAGGUGCAGCUCGCAGGUAAGAGAGGGAACCCUGCGCUGGACCGAACUCUGGAGCAGCUAAAGGUGGAGAGUGGAAGGCACCCCAAUCAGUUCACAGUUGGAGUGAAGUACGACUAACCUUGUCGCUCUGCUUGCUUGCUGGUUGCAAGCUGUCAUUGCCAAAAAUAGUGUGGCACCAUCUGCCAAGGGAUUACCGUCGUUGCUCGCCCCAGGCUGCUCCCAAGCAGCUGGAGUUCGUCUCAUUGGCGUCACUCUUGACCAUGGGGGCCCAUGUCCAGCAGAUUGGCGCCCUCGAUCUUCUCUGCACCGGAGCGACACCUCUUAAUUAAUCAAUCAAUUAAUUUGGGGAUGCAUUCAUGACAUUCAGAAUAUUUUUAGAGGAAAAUCUUGGAACCCUUCCUUGUUAUUCCUCUCAAGUUGCCAGCUAACAUAUCUCAGGUCAGCAUGAGAGCUGGCUCUCCAGUCAAAAUUCUGAAGUUAGCAACCAUUGUGUUUAUCUUGUAUCAACACUGAAUUUCAGUCUCUCUAAAUUAACUGAGUUUGGCUCAGAGAAGUGUGAGUACAUACUUAACUGAGAUUUCCGGCAUACUUGUUUGUGUUAUCGCAGAUCCUUGGCAGCAUGAUCGAACAGAUAUGGAGUAUUGCCCAUCCAUUAAUAGACGAUAGCGUUUGUGUACAGCGACAAGAAUUUGUGCUGGUAAUAUGUAUCAUUAGAUCUCAACUGCUAAUGCUUUCACCAGGAAACAAGUUCAGAUAUAAACAAUGUCAUCAAUUAGCAUCAUCUGUGGUGAUUAGCCCAUUCUUAACAGCAAGCAAGCCUGCUAUAUAUACCGGUGUUGACUGGGCCGACGGCGACCAGCUUAAAGAGGCCAUAGAUGGCCAGCUUGUUCUCUCUUCAAACUCCUCAUGAAGAACCAGUCAGCAAUUAGCAUCUGGGUUGCUCAUUUUGUAUGUAUACCUUCACCUGUUAACAGGUCUCCAUCAGUUUGUCCAUAUCAACUAUAC
rnacentral:rRNA from 1 species